UUCCGGUUGAUCCUGCCGGAGGUCACUGCUAUCCGAAUUCGACUAAGGCAUGCGAGUCUUGGGUUAAACCAAGGCGGACUGCUCAGUAACACGUAGUCAAUCUGCCCUUGGGCUCGGUCUAAUCCCGGGAAACUGGGGCCGAGGACCGGAUAAGUAAGGGAUGCUGGAAUGCGCCUUUACUGAACCAAGGAUGAGACUGCGGCCUAUCAGGUUGUUGCCAGACUAAAAUCCUGGCAAGCCUUUGACGGGUACGGGCCUUGAGAGAGGAAGCCCGGAGAUGGAUUCUGAGACCCUAAUCCAGGUCCUACGGGGCGCAGCAGCUGCGAAACUUUCGCAAUGGGCGUAAGCCUGACGAAGGAAUUUGGAGUGCUUCCUCCUUUGGAGGGGGCUUUUGUCAAGUCUAAAUAGCUUGUCGAAUAAGUGGUGGGUAAUACGGGUGCCAGCCGCCGCGGUAAUACCCGAGCCACGAGUGGUGACCGCGACUAUUGGGCUUAGAGCGUUCGUAGCCGGCUCAGAAAGUCUCUGAUGAAAUCCUGCAGUCAACUGUAGGGCUUGUCAGGGAUACUACUGGGCUUGGGACCGGGAGAGGCCGAGGGUAUUCCUGGGGUAGGAGUAAAAUCCUAUAAUCCCAGGAGGACCACCUGUGGCGAAGGCGCUCGGCUAGAACGGAUCCGACGGUGAGGGACGAAAGCUAGGGGAGCAAAGCGGAUUAGAUACCCGCGUAGUCCUAGCCGUAAACGAUGCCCACUAGACAUUGGCAGCCUCACGUGGGUUGCCAGAGUCGUAGGGAAACCGUUAAGUGGGCCGCCUGGGGAGUACGGUCGCAAGGCUGAAACUUAAGGAAAUUGGCGGGGGAGCACACAAGGGUGAGGCUGCGGUUCAAUUGGACUCAACGCCGGU
rnacentral:rRNA from 1 species